CCCACUGCUGACCGCUCCACUCGCUCCCUCUCUCGUUCCACUCUCGCCUCCCCUCUCACCCGCCUCCCCCAGAUCUGCUCCUCUCGCCCGUCUCUCCUCUCCUCCCGUCGUCGCCGGCCUCUCCUUUCCUCCCGUCGUCGCUGGCCUCUCCUUUCCUCCCUGUCGUUGCCAGCUUCCUCCCACUGCGCCACCCCGUUUUCUCCCACGGCGGGCGCCAGAAAUCCAGCAACCCGAGAUUGAAAGUAGGUUUGCGACGAGCUUCUGGGUGGCGGAGGCGCUGGGUCUGCGUGCGCCGACGCUGGAUCUGCGUGCCCCGACGCCGGUGUGGACGUGGCGGCGGAUGUGGAGCAGUGGACGUGCUGCGACGCUGGAUGUGGAGCAGCGGGGCGACAGCGGAGCGCCUACUCACGGGGUGCUGCUGAACCUCAAGAAGAUUGAGGACGGUGACGAUGUGGAGGUGGAGGAGGCGUCGGCAGAGGUGGUGAUGACGGAUGAGGGGUCGGUCCAGGUUGCCAGGAAGUGGUAUGUGGGCUUUUCCUAGCUGCAGAUGUGAUUUUGUUAGGGAAGUGGAGGAUUUUGUUCUUC